AUUGAACGCUGGCGGAAUGCUUUACACAUGCAAGUCGAACGGCAGCACGGACUUCGGUCUGGUGGCGAGUGGCGAACGGGUGGGUAAUGUAUCGGAACGUGCCCAGUCGUGGGGGAUAACGUAGUGAAAAUUUCGCUAAUACCGCAUACGAUCUAUGGAUGAAAGCGGGGGAUCGCAAGACCUCGCGCGAUCGGAGCGGCCGAUAUCAGAUUAGGUAGUUGGUGGGGUAAAGGCCCACCAAGCCAACGAUCUGUAGCUGGUCUGAGAGGACGACCAGCCACACUGGAACUGAGACACGGUCCAGACUCCUACGGGAGGCAGCAGUGGGGAACUUUGGACAAUGGGCGAAAGCCUGAUCCAGCCAUUCCGCGUGCAGGAUGAAGGCCCUCGGGUUGUAAACUGCUUUUGUACAGAACGAAAAGGUUUCUACUAAUACUAGGAGCUCAUGACGGUACUGUAAGAAUAAGCACCGGCUAACUACGUGCCAGCAGCCGCAGUAA
rnacentral:rRNA from 1 species